rnacentral:tRNA from 1 species
UGUGGUGUGCUCAGUGGUAGAGUGCUUGUCUAGCAUGCAUGAGGUCUUGGGUUCAACCCCCAGCACUGUGA